UAGCCACUCCCUCCGUUCGAAAUUACUUGUCUUGGAAAUGGAUGUAUCUAGAACUAAAAUACAUCUAGAUACAUCCAUUUUCGCGACAAGUAAUUCCGAACGGAGGGAGUAGGAG
rnacentral:pre_miRNA from 1 species